rnacentral:tRNA from 1 species
GCGGAAAUGGCGAAAUUGGUAGACCCACCAGCUAUAGGUUCUCGCGCCGCAAGGUGUGCGAGUUCACGACUCUCUUUCCGCACCA